UCCUAACACAGGGAGAUCGAGCGAGAAAGUUCCCGCAAGGGGAUGAGUACAGCGGUUACCGGGUGAGUAACACGUGGGCAACCUACCCUUCAGUCAGGAAUAACUGCGCGAAAGCGGGGCUAAUACCAGAUGACGUCCUGCGGGGGCAUCUCCGGGGGACCAAAGGGGGCGAGCGUAAGCGGCUCCCGCUGAUCGAUGGGCCUGCGGCUGAUUAGCUAGUUGGUGGGGUAACCGCCUACCAAGGCGGACGAUCAGUAUUCUACCUGAGAGGGUGACCGGGCCCACUGGGACUGAUACACGGGCCCAACUUCUACGGGAAGGCAGCAAGGG
rnacentral:sRNA from 1 species